rnacentral:rRNA from 1 species
AGCAGCCGCGGUAAUUCCAGCUCCAAUAGCGUAUAUUAAAGUUGUUGCAGUUAAAAAGCUCGUAGUUGAAUUUCGAGACCGGUUUAUUGGUCGUGCUUUUGUACGUACUGGUAUUAUUGGUUUCUCCUCUCUGACGAAUCUUAAUGCCAUUAAUUUGGUGUUUUGGGGAAUCAGGACUGUUACUUUGAAAAAAUUAGAGUGUUUAAAGCAGGCUCACGCUUGAAUACAUUAGCAUGGAAUAACGGAAUAGGACGUUUGAUUCUAUUUUGUUGGUUUCUAGGAUCGACGUAAUGAUUAAUAGGGAUAGUUGGGGGCAUUAGUAUUCAAUUGUCAGAGGUGAAAUUCUUGGAUUUAUUGAAGACUAACUACUGCGAAAGCAUUUGCCAAGGAUGUUUUCAUUAAUCAAGAACGAAAGUUAGGGGAUCGAAGACGAUCAGAUACCGUCGUAGU